AUGCUUCUUUAUAUGUUUGAAUUGAUGUCAGGGCUUAAGGUGAAUUUUCAGAAAAGCGAGAUUCUUACUGUGGGGGGUGAUGAUAAGGUGGUGAAUAUGUAUCCAGACUUAUUCCAUUGCGAGGUGGGCAGCUUCCCCAUCAAAUAUUUAGGGAUGCCUGUCAGUUACACCAAUCUCAGAAACUCAGAUUGGGAAUUCAUAGUUACUAAAUAUCUGGAAAAAUUUGAAGCUUGGAUUGGUAAUGCAGCCUCGAUGGGGGGGGGAGGCUGA
rnacentral:rRNA from 1 species